rnacentral:rRNA from 1 species
AGGUUAAUAUUCCUGUACUACCUUAAGGAGUGACGUGGAGACGGAGGCGUGACAGCGCCGCGGACUGACGGAAUAGUCCGUUGAAGGGUGUAGAUGCUGAUUAUCCCAGGCAAAUCCGGGAUAAGAGUCGAACCUGAUAGUAUGGAGCGUUCUUCGGAACAAUCCAAUAGUGCGUGUAAUCAUACUCCCAAGAAAAUCCGCUAAACUUAAUCCUUGAGGUACCCGUACCGCAAACGGACACACGUAGUCG